GGGGGAGGGUUGGGGGUCAGAUCCGCUAUUCUUAGCUGGGAGGGCAGCUCACAGCGCACUGCCAGGCCGUGGAGGUGCGGCUGGAACGGCUGCUGCUUGGCAAAGGGAAAAGAAGCUGCGGAGGGGACGGGGGAGAUGCUCGCGCCGCCCUUGCUGCAGUAGGUCGUAGCCACGAGGUGAGGAAGCAGCAGACGGCCGCCGUUCUGUUUUUCCCCGAGAGCAGAUUGAUGGAGUCACUGUGCUGUCCUGGCUGCUGCUGAGCCUUCCUAGCUGACCCUGGGACACUGCUGCAGGCAUGGGCUGAGGAAGCCAAGAGCGCUGCGUGUUUCUCACACCAGCUGGGUGGUACCACGAGGGCUCAUUUGGUGGCAUCGAGAUGCUGUUACUGACAGUGACUUCGUGGGAAAAGCUCCUGUUGGGUGGUUGGGAGGGGAUUUUCAUGGCAGUCCUUUGGUGUCUCUGUAGUGCCAGCCCAGAACUUGCUUUUCCACCUGGUGGAUGCUCGUCUGACAGCUGCACGCAGCUCCUCAGCCUCUGCUAGAAGUGACCCGAAGUCCAAAGGACUCAGCCCAAAUACACUGAGCAACUCCAUAGAAUGGAUGCUGCUCCGGUGGGUGGUUUCAGCUCUCUCUCUUUGCCAACACGCUAAUGAAAAUUCAAUAAGAAAGUAACCUUAUUGUGAAGAUUUUAAGCUGCACAGCUUCCUUGUAAUAAUGAAAUUGAGAAGGGAUUCAUCGCCUGAUUUAAUUACUGAGAGAAAAGAUGUCUUCCAAUGGGAUUUCCAUCUCACGCACCCCGGACGCUCCUUGUGCAUGGACUCAGCCUCACUUGCACCAAGGCUUUGGUUCCCACAAGUUUUCUGCUCUCCUCUAUCUUUGGCUUAGCGGAGGUUUGUUGGGAGUGGCCUAUUUGGUUUGCAGGUAUCUGCAGUUUAGUGACUGGAACCUCCUGGCACGGCUCCUGUUUGGGAAUCUCUGCCGUUGGGGCUUUGGGAUUGCUUUCGUUUUUGUGAGGUGGUGGUGAAGCCCUGCUGUGUUUCUCAUAGAACCAUAGAAUGGCCUGGGCUGAAAAGGACCACAAUGCUCAUCCAGUUCCAACCCCCUGCUAUGUGCAGGGUCGCCAACCAGCAGCCCAGGCUGCCCAGAGCCACAUCCAGCCUGGCCUUGAAUGCCUGCAGGGAUGGGGCAUCACAGCCUCCGACCUCUUCUCCUUUGGGUCUGGGCUGAGCGGGGCUCCAAACACACAUCAGCCCCCCCGUCCUCAGCAGAGCAUUUCAGAAGCCUUUUUUUUCCCCCCUCCCCUCAAAGAUGCUGGGGCCAACCAACACCUCCUUGUUCAUCCUGUUUGCCAUUGCUUUGCCAGCAGCAUCCCGCCGGCUCCUUUCCAGACCUCUCACCCGUUCCCAGCACUGUUUAUUUAUCAGUGUCUGUGCUGGCCGGCCAGCUGCCACGGAGAGGAGCUGUUUGGCUGCACACCGCCUGCUUCUGCUUCCCAGGAGAGCAGGCAAACAAACCCCCACCGUUCCGCCUCUGCAGCCGCCUUCCUGCUGGGUUUUGUCUCAUGUCCAGCCCUGAAAUGCUGUAUGUGUGUCCGCUCCACAGCACUUCUCACUGAGCAUCUUCCACGCACGGCCAGAUUGCAGGAAUUACUGCAUUUCCCACGUGUUGCACAUGCACUUCAGCUUGGGUUUUAUGUCUUACUUGCUGUGCUCUUCCUGCAGAUGUAUGAAGGAUGGAGCUCAGCAGAUGGAACCUUCUCUUUAGCUUGUAAUUCGCCUCAAUGUGCUGGCUAAUAAUCUCAGGGCAGCCGGGCUGCAUGGCCUCCCCAAGGCCACUGCAGCAAUAACACAGGGCAGGAGCACAGCAGGCUUCACCCCACGUUGAUGUGCAGCCUCAUGUGCUGCUCCUCGAGUCUCAAAUGCACAAUGCAGGUUGGGCAGCAGUGUGGGUUGGGCAGCGGUGCAGAUGCUGCAAGGAAACGUUUAAAUCCAAAGCUCAAAUUUGUUCCCAAUUAGUGCUAAAAAAAAACCCAAGCACCACCACCCACAAUAAUGAAUAUCCAUAGUAACAUCUCUGUUUAGGUUUGUUUUCCAGCCUCACCUCGGCUCCCUGCCAGGAUGCCUGAACAUCUCUUUGUGUCUGGCGGGUUGUUGUUUGUUUAGGUUGGUUCUGCGCAUGUAUGCAUGAAUGCUUCAGAAAUGGCUUUGGUUUUGUCUUUGGGAAUGUGUUCCAAACAAAUACCCCCAGGCGGUGGCACAGAGGUUUGCUUACCUUAUUGCUGUGUUGCUCUCAGUGUCAUUUCUCAC